UGUGGAAAUGAUACCAGACAACUUUAAACUGUGGAGUUUGGGUUUGCAGUGAGCAUUGCUGGGAUAAGCAAAGUUUCCAGAGGAAAGUGUCCCUGCCCCUGGGCAUGGCAUGGGAUGGUCUUUAAGGUCCCUUCCCACCCAAACCAUUCUGGGAUUCUGCUCUCUGAUUCUACAAAUCUGACUUAAACACCACAAAUUAAUUUGGCCUAAUUGUCAUGAGUCCUGUGCUGUUUUUCUAAAACUCAGUGCUGCGUGAAUUAUUUCAUUCUGGAGUCUGGAAAUGAUAAUUAAAGAGGUGUGAACUCUGUGCUGAGGGAAAGGCUGCAUGGAUAAAAAUGUGGUGUUGCCAUCUGCUGGUAACAGGGGCAAUGGGAGUAACAAAACAGGUCCAGAGUUACCUGGUUUAAGGUUAAAUAAUGUGAAGUGACAGUGCUUGGUGGGUUCUUGAUGUCACACUUAAAAUCAAUAUAAAUUAAACCCUGCCCAUGGCAGGGGUUGGAACUGGAUGAUUUUAAGGUCCCUUGCAAGCCAAACCAUUCUGAUUCUCUGAAUCUAAAUAUUUCUGAGGGUGGUGAGAGUGGAGCUGGGGGCUGAAAUGAAGAGACUUGCAGCACUUGGGUGUUGUCCAGCAGGGAAUCAAGUGAUCUCUCUACCUGAGACAGAGCCCAGGAGCACAGAGCACACAAUUUUAUUUAAAAGGAAAAAAUAAAGUAUCUGUGUAAAGAACAGGUCAAGGCAAGCAAACAGCCCAUGGAGUAGGAGUGCUCAGAAGUUUGGGUGGCUGUGGUGUCACACCCAGGCCCUGGCCUUGCUUGAGUUGAAGAAGCUGAGUUGUGUUUGAGGAGAUGCUGCUCUGUGUCUGGAAGCAUCCCAUCCUCACUUGAAGGGACUGUCCUCCUUUUGUGCAGGAUGCUCGGCCUGUGGGGGGAGUUCAGGUCAGGGAACAGCAAAGCAGUGAUGUGUGAGAGGCCAGGCCAUGCUCUGGAUGGUGUUUGAGAGGCCCUCUUGUGUUCUGGAUGGUGUUUGGGAGGUCAGGUCACACUCUGGAUGUUGUUUGGGAGGCCGGGUCAUGCUCUGGAUGGUGUUUGAGAGGCCCUCUUGUGUUCUGGAUGGUGUUUGGGAGGUCAGGUCACGCUCUGGAUGGUGUUUGAGAGGCCAGGUCACACUCUGGAUGGUGUUUUGGAGGCCAGGCCAUGCUCUGGAUGGUGUUUGAGAGGCCCUCUUGUGUUCUGGAUGGUGUUUGGGAGGUCAGGUCACACUCUGGAUGGUGUUUGGGAGGCCAGCUCAUGCUCUGGAUGGUUUUUGGGAGGCCCUCUCGUGCUCUGGAUGUUUGUUUGUGACUUGGGGGGUGAGGGAAGGAAGUUUCCCAUUACUGUUGCUUUUCCCCCUACAUCAUAACCGAUUUCAAAUGGUGCUAGACAAAAACUGAGACUCUGAACACCAAGAGAAAUCGGUCAGCCUGUGUAAGAGAUGUUUUCCUGGCUCAGAGAAGGAUCCUCUUGUAGAUGACAGCUAUGCAUUCUUUAGAGGUGACUACUCAGUGCUCUGGUCAAACCUUCAUCCACAGCAGGAUUGGCUUUUCCAUGUCUGGGAACACGCUGGACAUCAGGGAGGGCAAAAAAAGAGUUCAGCUUCAGUUUUAGUGGUUGGGAUGCAGGGCUGGAGAAGUGAAAUAUUGCUAGGAGGCACCAGCAGCAAGCUGGAAAGCGAUUCUACAAAAAGGAGUGGGUUCUGUGUGUGCUGGAAAAAGGUUCUGGAGAAAGGAGUGGGUUCUGUGUGUGCUGGAAAAAGAUUCUGGAGAAAGGAGUGGGUUCUGUGUGUGCUGUGAGGCAUCUUGAUGAUGCCCAUGGCAGGGGCUUGGUACAGGAUGAUCUUUAAGGUCCUUUCCAUCCCAGUCUGGAUUCUGGGAUUGCUGGAGGCACGUCUGUGUUUGACUGCUGAGCUGAAAUUGUUGGAGGGAAUUCCUGUUUGCAGAGCUAUGGAGUGAGAAUCCUGUGGUGAUGGAGUCCCCGAGCAGAGAGUGGAAAUCCUUUUGCUCUGAGGCAAGAAAUGAAGUGUUGGUCGUGGUUUUUGGGUGCCUGUCAAGGUACAAGAGGUAGCACGUUGGUUUUCAUGCAACUUGUGGAUCAGUUUAGUCUGGACAGGUUGAACUCAUAUCCACUGUUUAUUGGGCAGAAAUACCCGAGCAGGAGGCUGUGCUGCUGUGGCCCUGGCUUGGGAGGGUGCAUACAGUGCUUGGAGAAGUCUCUAGAAAUCAGAUGAUGUUACAAAGUGGAUGGCUGGCAAAACAAAACAAAAAACAAAACAAAAAAAGA